ensembl:lncRNA
AUGGGUAUUCUACUGCACCUUUGCCUUGGAGUAAAAGAAUGCAUACAAAAGAGAGUAGCUGGCAUGCUCUCAAUCUAUGCUCAUCACACUAUGAUCUGUGAGGACAGAUAGACUUCGAAGUUAAUAGAAGUGUCCCUGCUUUGCCAGGUAUCAUUUCAGUACAAAGGUUAAUACUACUUUUUUAGCUGAAUAGAUCCUGGUAGAACCUUUGGUAAAUUUCUGCCACAGUGUAUAAUUUAUACAAUAUAGAAUUUGCUCAAGAUAUUAUGCUAUUCCUGCCUGCCUUCCUAUCAAUGAGGUUCUCAGGCGAUGUGAUUGACCCACAUAUGAUGAUGCAAAAGGGACAUGAUUGCUCCUGAAGCCAACCUGCUGGUGGAGAGGGCUGCAGGGAGCCAAACUGGCUAUGUUUUUGGUAACAUAUUCCUCAAAUCUAUGUCCCAGGUUUAACAACCAUACGGUAUAAUUUUUUUCCUAUAUAAGACUAUAUUAAGUUAUUCAGAACUAAGUUGAUUUCUGUCACAAAUUAUUUAACUGAAAAAGAGGGAAAAUCUGCCCAGACUUAGCUGACCUAUGAAGACAUAUUUCAAAUUGAACUCAAAUUUCCCCUUAAACAAAGUCAGUGAAAAAAUACCUCUUGACACCUGCGAAAUCUAGAUUUCAGAGUGGUAGAUUUCAAUUUAGUAUGCAAACUAAAAUUUAAAGCAACUUUCCUUUUUGUCUUUGGUGUAUUUUCCCUUUUCCUCCUGGUUUUGUAUUUUUGUCUGUCACUAUGGUAUGACUUUGGGAACUUCUCUCAUGUGUUUAAGACAAGUCUUUCUGGGUUUGCAUACACGUCAUAGUAAUACACUUCAUAUAUCAUCCUUUCCUAGCCACAGGAAGAAGCAACUCUGCUCCGGAAUUCAGUCAAAUCUCGUCUAGAUAACAAGUCUUCCAGUUCACCUCAUCCCCUGUCUUCUGGCAAACAUGACAAAAAUGCUGAGAUCCAAGAGCACAGAAAAAUAUUAGCAGAACUGGAGGGAUGUCAAAGGGAAAAAGAAUUCUCACAUGUUUAGUCUAGGAAUGAUACUUUUUUAUAUUAGAAAUGAACUCAGAAAAUAUAGGAAAGAAAAUAGAAAAACAAAGGACUGUACACACAUUGUAAAAGAAAAGUUUUACAAAUAGAACUGAGUUAGAAUAUUACUUUUUUCACUUAUAUAAUCUUCCAUUAACACAAGUGUAACAGAAAUUUAACCCCAGUGUAGUGUUCAAAUUCCUGACACAACUGGGAUACCUUUAUGAGUGAAAAACAAUUUUAAGUUUUAUUUCUCUUAGAGUAUUUCUCACUCAUACCUGUUAUAAAGCCUCUACCUUUUCAGUAGAUUUCUGUGGGCUUGACCAUUGUCAGAUUUUUUGUUUACUUUUGUUUUUUACAUUUAGUUUACUAGAUUAUCAGUGUAGAUAUUUUCUUGGGUAAUUUUAAGUUCUAUUAUUUACUUAUUUACACUUUUAUACAGUAAUUCAGUGCACAGUUGGAAAAUAAAUAACCAAAAUUAAUAACCUCCCAGAAGGGCAAUAUACUUUAAAUAUAUCUGAAAAUCUACUAUUACACAUUUUAAAAUUAUUUUUUCUGCAAGUACUCAGAGAACUGGAAUAAACAACACCAGAAGAAAAUAAUGACAGAUAAAAUCACAGAAUCACAGAAUCACAGAAUGGCCUGGGUUGGAAGGGACCUCAAGGAUCACGAAUCUCCAACUCCCCGGCCAGGUAGGGCCUCCAACCUCCCCAUUUACUAGACCAGGUUGCCCAGGGCCUCAUCCAACCUGGCCUUGAACACCUCCAGGGAUGGAGCAUCCACAACCUCUCUGGACAGCCCAUUCCAGCACCUCACCACUCUCCUGGUAAAGAACAUCCCCCUAACACCCAACCUAAAUCUUCCCUCUUUCAACUUAAAACAGUUCCCCCUUGUCCUGCUGUUAACAAGCUGUUAAAAUGGCACUGAAGUCCCUGGAU